rfam:Brassica oleracea var. oleracea cultivar TO1000 chromosome C4, whole genome shotgun sequence
GGAAUAUAAAAACCGUCUUUUAACAUUUAACUAAAAAAGUUAAGAAUCGAUUCUUAAAUAAGAUAUUUUACGAACCGGUUCUUAGCUUUUUUAGUUAAAAGUUAAGAGACGGUUUCUUAUAUUCC